rnacentral:rRNA from 1 species
UCCGUAGGCGGUCUUUUAAGUCAGUGGUGAAAUCCCAGAGCUCAACUCUGGAACUGCCAUUGAAACUGAAAGACUUGAAUCUGGUUGAGGUAGGCGGAAUACGUUAUGUAGCGGUGAAAUGCAUAGAUAUAACGUAGAACACCAAUUGCGAAGGCAGCUUACUAAACCAUUAUUGACGCUGAUGGACGAAAGCGUGGGGAGCGAACAGGAUUAGAUACCCUGGUAGUCC